rnacentral:rRNA from 1 species
UAGAGAAUCUUGCACAAUGGGCGAAAGCCUGAUGCAGCCACGCCGCGUGAGGGACGAAGGUCUUCGGAUUGUAAACCUCUUUCAGUCGUGAAGAAGCGCAAGUGACGGUAGCGACAGAAGAAGCCCCGGCUAACUACGUGCCAGCAGCCGCGGUAAUACGUAGGGGGCAAGCGUUGUCCGGAAUUAUUGGGCGUAAAGGGCGCGUAGGCGGUCCAUUAAGUCGGAUGUGAAAUCCAGGGGCUCAACCCCUGAACUGCAUCCGAUACUGGUGGACUUGAGGUAGGUAGAGGAGAGUGGAAUUUGUGGUGUAGCGGUGGAAUGCGCAGAUAUCACAAGGAACACCGAUGGCGAAGGCAGCUCUCUGGGCCUUACCUGACGCUGAGGCGCGAAAGCAUGGGUAGCAAACAGGAUUAGAUACCCCCGUAGUCC